ACGAUACAGCCCCUUCCGUAUCCCUGUACCGUGUACGUUUCUGUGUACGCUGCCCUUCUUCCUUCUCCCCCUGUCUGAACUCGAGCUUGAAGAGCAGCGGACCAACAGCAGAUGGCGAGCCGUCCGUCGAGACCUGAGGCCGUGCUCCCGUCCCUCUAGCCCAACCCAUUGAAGUAUCUCCCUGCUCCGCCGUCUACCUCAAGGUCAGCGCUGUGGAGCUGGAGCAUCGACCUGGACUGGACGGACCGCGUCCUUGUUCCUCCGGCAACGGCGCGCUCCCGGCAACCGCAUCCCCUUGCGCAUCACGGAUGCCGGUGGCUAGCUGGUCGAUCUGACCAGACGGCGACGCGGGAGAAGGGGCCGACCAGGGGUUAGCGGUGGUCGGACUCGUCGAGGCGCCGCGGAGCCCUUGGCGUCCAGUCCCCGGACCGAGUAGUUACCGCAGACGACGGAGCCGCUAGGAGGAGCUCGUCGCUUGCCUCGUCUCUUGCUGCAAUCUCAAGGAUACCUCGAGGUGUAUGCAUGUUCUGUGGAUGUAUUCCCGCGCGAUGGGAUUGUCUCCUAUUUGGUGCCCAGUUUUCGGGACAGUUUUAAUGAGGAUAUGCAAGUAUCACGGAGGAUA